UACGUAGGGUGCGAGCGUUGUCCGGAAUUACUGGGCGUAAAGAGCUUGUAGGUGGUUUGUCGCGUUGUUCGUGAAAUCUCACGGCUUAACUGUGAGCGUGCGGGCGAUACGGGCAGACUAGAGUACUGCAGGGGAGACUGGAAUUCCUGGUGUAGCGGUGGAAUGCGCAGAUAUCAGGAGGAACACCGGUGGCGAAGGCGGUCUCUGGGCAGUGAACUGACGCUGAGAAGCGAAAGCGUGGGGAGCGAAACAGG
rnacentral:rRNA from 1 species